UGACCUGCCACUACUUCCCUGCACUGCUUGACCUCUAGUAUUUCUGUUCUGUCUUAACCUUAUUGCAGCUACUUUCUUCUACACCUCAUGUCCUAAAUUGGCUAAGGACUCUCAGAAAACCUUGUGCAAACUUCUGUGACUCCCCUCUGCACGUGCCCCCCUUCACCAGCACUGCUCUGCUUAGACCCUAGCUUGCUGAACUACAGUUGGGAAAUUGUCCCCAGAGAACCAGAGUGAUUGUGGGCUCACCUGUUCCUUCACUCAGAGGUCACACUCUGUUAGCUAGUAUGUGCAAACAGGUGUAUUGUUUUGUCUAGUUUAAUAGUUGUUUAUGAGAGGAAUGAUAAUCUGGUACCAAUUACUCUGUUAUAUUGAAAGUUGAAGUCUCUCCCAGUAUGCUCAUGGACUGAAUCAUUGCUCGCUGAUCUUCUCGCCUCCCACCCUCAGUCAUCCAUUUACUUUUCUCUUCACAAGGGAGACAAAGUCAGGGUGAGG
rnacentral:lncRNA from 10 species